rnacentral:tRNA from 1 species
GCAUAGCUCAGCUGGUUUAGAGCAUCCCGACCGGCAGGUCGGGAGGGUCGGAGGUUCGAAUCCUUCUGCGCCCA